rnacentral:rRNA from 1 species
UUAUCCGGAAUUAUUGGGCGUAAAGGGAGCGCAGGCGGUUGAUUAAGUUUAAGGUGAAAGCGUGGGGCUUAACCCCAUAAAGCCUUAGAAACUGGUCAACUAGAGUGCAGAAGAGGGUAGUGGAAUUCCAUGUGUAGCGGUAAAAUGCGUAGAUAUAUGGAGGAACACCAGUGGCGAAGGCGGCUACCUGGUCUGUAACUGACGCUGAGGCUCGAAAGCGUGGGGAGCAAAUAGGAUUAGAUACCCUAGUAGUCCACGCUGUAAACGAUGAAUACUAAGUGUUGGGGAAACUCAGUGCUGCAGUUAACGCAAUAAGUAUUCCGCCUGGGGAGUA